AUUGAACGCUGGCGGCAUGCCUUACACAUGCAAGUCGAACGGUAACAGGUCUUCGGAUGCUGACGAGUGGCGAACGGGUGAGUAAUACAUCGGAACGUGCCCGAUCGUGGGGGAUAACGAGGCGAAAGCUUUGCUAAUACCGCAUACGAUCUACGGAUGAAAGCGGGGGAUCUUCGGACCUCGCGCGGACGGAGCGGCCGAUGGCAGAUUAGGUAGUUGGUGGGAUAAAAGCUUACCUAGCCGACGAUCUGUAGCUGGUCUGAGAGGAUGAUCAGCCACACUGGGACUGAGACACGGCCCAGACUCCUACGGGAGGCAGCAGUGGGGAAUUUUGGACAAUGGGCGAAAGCCUGAUCCAGCCAUGCCGCGUGCAGGAUGAAGGCCUUCGGGUUGUAAACUGCUUUUGUACGGAACGAAAAGCCUCUUUCUAAUAAAGAGGGGUCAUGACGGUACCGUAAUAAUAAGCACCGGCUAACUACGUG
rnacentral:rRNA from 1 species